AUGGACGUCAACCUCCUGGAGAAGGCCCUCCUGGGCCUCUUCGCGGCGGCGAUGCUCGCCAUCGCCGUCGCGAAGCUGACAGGCAAGCGCUUCCGGCUCCCCCCCGGCCCCUCCGGCGCACCGAUCGUGGGCAACUGGCUCCAGGUGGGUGACGACCUCAACCACCGCAACCUCAUGGGCAUGGCUAAGCGUUUCGGUGAGGUGUUCCUGCUCCGGAUGGGUGUCCGCAACCUGGUUGUCGUCUCCAGUCCCGAGCUCGCCAAGGAGGUCCUCCACACCCAGGGCGUCGAGUUCGGCUCCCGCACCCGUAAUGUCGUCUUCGACAUCUUCACCGGCAAAGGCCAGGACAUGGUGUUCACCGUGUAUGGCGACCACUGGCGCAAGAUGCGCCGGAUCAUGACGGUGCCCUUCUUCACCAACAAGGUGGUGGCGCAGAACCGUGUGGGGUGGGAGGAGGAGGCCCGGCUGGUAGUGGAGGACCUCAAGGCUGACCCAGCAUCGGCGACGGGGGUGGUGAUCCGCCGCAGACUGCAGCUCAUGAUGUACAAUGACAUGUUCCGCAUCAUGUUCGACCGCCGGUUCGAGAGCCUCGCCGACCCGCUCUUCAACAAGCUGAGGGCGCUGAACGCCGAGCGCAGCAUUCUCUCCCAGAGCUUCGACUACAACUACGGCGACUUCAUCCCCAUCCUCCGCCCCUUCCUCCGCGGCUACCUCAACCGCUGCACCAACCUCAAGGCCAAGAGGAUGAAAGUCUUCGAGGAAGACUUCGUCCAAGAGCGCAAGAAGGCGUUGGAGAAGAACGGUGAGAUCAGAUGCGCCAUGGACCACAUCCUCGAGGCCGAAAGGAAGGGCGAGAUCAACCACGACAACGUCCUGUACAUCGUCGAGAACAUCAACGUCGCAGCAAUUGAGACGACCCUGUGGUCGAUCGAGUGGGGAGUUGCGGAGCUGGUGAACCACCCGGACAUCCAGUCAAAGCUCCGCCAGGAGAUCCUUGCUGUGCUAGGCCCCGAUGCAGCGGUGACAGAGCCAGACCUAGAGCGCCUCCCUUACCUGCAGUCCGUCGUGAAGGAGACUCUCCGCCUCCGCAUGGCCAUCCCGCUCCUCGUGCCACACAUGAACCUCAAGGACGCCAAGCUCGCUGGCUACGACAUCCCCGCCGAGUCCAAGAUCCUCGUCAACGCCUGGUUCCUCGCCAACGAUCCCAAGCGGUGGGUGCGCGCCGACGAGUUCCGUCCAGAGCGGUUCCUCGAGGAGGAGAGGGCCGUCGAAGCCAACGGUAACGACUUCCGGUUCGUGCCAUUCGGUGUCGGCCGGAGGAGCUGCCCGGGGAUCAUCCUCGCGCUGCCCAUCAUCGGCAUCACACUCGGCCGCCUGGUGCAGAACUUCCAGCUGCUGCCGCCGCUGGGGCAGGACAAGAUCGAUACCACGGAGAAGCCCGGACAGUUCAGCAACCAGAUCCGCAACCACGCCACCGUCGUCUGCAAGCCACUCAAGGCUUAG
rnacentral:rRNA from 1 species